GCAAGGACACAGAGAAGAUGCGUCUAUGCACCAGGAAGGGCCUCACCAGGCACCAGAUCCACCUCACUUUGUGCUUGGACUUCCAGCCCCCAGAACCGUGAGGGAUAAACACCUGCUGUUCACAAGCCGCCCAGACUGCGGGACUCUGUGAGGGCAGCCUGAGCAGACUGGGACAGGUGUCCUCCAACCAGAAAUAAUGAUUCUGGAAACUGGACAAGAGGAAGCACAGGAUGUCCCUCGUAGAGCACACCAGCAUUCUUAGCUGUGUCACCUUUUUCAUGGGUUUCGUCAGCACAUCCCUCUCGACACUGAGUUGCUGGCGUAGAGCUUCCUCAAGAAGAGGUAGGACAAGUCUGUGGGAGACGUGGUGAGCCAGUGGCACCAGGGAAUAGCGGACACGCCUCUGACUGACAAGGGUCAAGUGUGGCCGGCGGGUAAGGCCGGCAGGAAGGAAGCCGAGGGAGUUGUCAGAGAUAAGUGAACAUCCCGUGUGGUCUCAGAGCCGGUUUCUUCCUGCAAGGCCUUGCUUCACUCACUCCAACACAGCUGGGUGACAUGUGUCCCCUACCCUGCACAGGAAGCUGCUCGAGAGAAUGGGCCUUCCCUGUGUCUAGCCAGCGGCUGUGUCCCAGCACCUAGCAAAGUGCACCCAAUAAAUAUGUGUCAAUCA